rnacentral:rRNA from 1 species
GAUUGGCCCGCGUUGGAUUAGCUAGUUGGUGGGGUAAAGGCCUACCAAGGCGACGAUCCAUAGCUGGUCUGAGAGGAUGAUCAGCCACAUUGGGACUGAGACACGGCCCAAACUCCUACGGGAGGCAGCAGUGGGGAAUAUUGGACAAUGGGCGCAAGCCUGAUCCAGCCAUGCCGCGUGAGUGAUGAAGGCCUUAGGGUUGUAAAGCUCUUUCACCGAUGAAGAUAAUGACGGUAGUCGGAGAAGAAGCCCCGGCUAACUUCGUGCCAGCAGCCGCGGUAAUACGAAGGGGGCUAGCGUUGUUCGGAAUUACUGGGCGUAAAGCGCACGUAGGCGGAUAUUUAAGUCAGGGGUGAAAUCCCAGAGCUCAACUCUGGAACUGCCUUUGAUACUGGGUAUCUUGAGUAUGGAAGAGGUAAGUGGAAUUGCGAGUGUAGAGGUGAAAUUCGUAGAUAUUCGCAGGAACACCAGUGGCGUAGGCGGCUUACUGGUCCAUUACUGACGCUGAGGAGCGAAAGCGUGGGGAGCAAACAGGAUUAGAUACCCUGGUAGUCCACGCC